GUGCUUGCUCCAGUAGCACAUACGCUAUAACUGGGACAAUACAGAGAUUAGCAUGGUGCCCGUGCAAGGAUGACAUGUUAAUUUGUGAAGUGCUCCAUAUUUUU